AUCAUUACAAGAACGCCCGGGCUUCGGCCUGGUUAUUCAUAACCCUUUGUUGUCCGACUCUGUUGCCUCCGGGGCGACCCUGCCUUCGGGCGGGGGCUCCGGGUGGACACUUCAAACUCUUGCGUAACUUUGCAGUCUGAGUAAACUUAAUUAAUAAAUUAAAACUUUUAACAACGGAUCUCUUGGUUCUGGCAUCGAUGAAGAACGCAGCGAAAUGCGAUAAGUAAUGUGAAUUGCAGAAUUCAGUGAAUCAUCGAAUCUUUGAACGCACAUUGCGCCCCCUGGUAUUCCGGGGGGCAUGCCUGUUCGAGCGUCAUUUCACCACUCAAGCCUCGCUUGGUAUUGGGCAACGCGGUCCGCCGCGUGCCUCAAAUCGUCCGGCUGGGUCUUCUGUCCCCUAAGCGUUGUGGAAACUAUUCGCUAAAGGGUGUUCGGGAGGCUACGCCGUAAAACAACCCCAUUUCUAAGGUUGACCUCGGAUCAGGUAGGGAUACCCGCUGAACUUAAGCAUAUCAAUAA
rnacentral:misc_RNA from 1 species